rnacentral:rRNA from 1 species
UACGUAGGUGGCAAGCGUUGUCCGGAUUUAUUGGGCGUAAAGCGCGCGCAGGCGGUUCGCCGCGUCCGAGGUGAAAUCUCCCGGCUCAACUGGGAGGGGUCUUCGGAUACGGGCGGACUUGAGGAGAGCAGAGGUGAGCGGAAUUCUGGGUGUAGUGGUGAAAUGCGUAGAUAUCCAGAGGAACACAAGUGGCGGAGGCGGCUCACUGGGCUCCACCUGACGCUGAGGCGCGAAAGCGUGGGGAGCGAACCGG